AAAACUUAAAGUCCUUAAAGAAUGCACAUGCUCGCAAAGAAAAAGAAGAGGACGUUUUUUGGAUUAAUUUAUACAAGGUGAGAUUUGAUGAUUCAUUUUGUAGGUUAUUGAAAUUUGUUUUCCAGAUUUUUAGUAAUAUUAUCGUAAAUAUAAAUACGGUAUUUGUAAAAAUUCAUCACGAGAAUUGAACGUGUAAUCAUAGAAUAAGGCCUAGGUGUAUUAUUAAUAUUAAUGAUCGCGGGAACUGGGAACGAGAAUGCACGCGCCCGUAAGCAAUCGGGUUUUCGAUCAUUCUCGAGCAUGCGUACUAACUUUUGGCGCCAUUAUCGAACGUUGGCCGUUGGGAUUUGCUUCGACGAGGGAUACGGAUAAAAUACAAGCGUAAAACCUCGUUCGUUGCAGUAUAUUUUGAACAAAUAAACAAUUUAUUAGGAAAAUACGUUCAAGAAACGUCUCGUGCUGUACUAGCCUAAUUCUGACAAAUGUUAUUUACUUUCUUCACCUUCGUGUCGACGACUGUUGUUUGCUGAUGGCCAAAUCACGACAGCGGACAUCAAUUAUUCAAAAUAUGUUCUUAUAGCUUCACGUUUACGAUACGAAUGUAAGAUUAUUUCUUUUUUGUAUAUGUAGGUUCUAGUUGAAAGUGACAGCGACGAUGAAAAAAGUGCACACAACAUUGAAAUAUCCAGUUCACUGCUAGCUCAAAUCCUGCGACAUACCACUUGCUAGUAGCCCAGUCUAGUUUAACUUUGCCCAAUCAAGAAUCAUCUCCUGAAUCAGGCAUACUGGCAA